UAAGAAGGGGGCUAGCGUUGUUCGGAAUUACUGGGCGUAAAGCGCGCGCAGGCGGCUAUCCAAGUCAGUGGUGAAAGCCCGGAGCUCAACUCCGGAACUGCCAUUGAAACUGUUUAGCUUGAGGACGAGAGAGGUGAGUGGAAUUCCCAGUGUAGAGGUGAAAUUCGUAGAUAUUGGGAAGAACACCGGUGGCGAAGGCGGCUCACUGGCUCGUAUCUGACGCUCAGGCGCGACAGCGUGGGGAUCAAACAGG
rnacentral:rRNA from 1 species